UAUUGCCUACGGGGGGCAGCAGUGGGGAAUAUUGCACAAUGGGGGGAACCCUGAUGCAGCGACGCCGCGUGGGUGAAGGAGCACCUCGGUGCGUAAAGCCCUAUCGGCAGGGAAGAAAAGCGAACAGGUUCGCCUGGACGGUACCUGACUAAGAAGCCCCGGCUAACUACGUGCCAGCAGCCGCGGUAAUACGUAUGGUGCAAGCGUUAUCCGGAUUUACUGGGUGUAAAGGGAGCGCAGGCGGCACGGCAAGCCUGAUGUGAAAGCCCGCGGCCCAACCGCGGGACUGCAUUGGGAACUACCGG
rnacentral:rRNA from 1 species